AAUUCAAAUUAAUCCUUUUUUUAAAAGAAAUUAGCUGAUACUUAAUUAAUCUCCCGCUAAUGGACCGCUCUGUUUUCCGUGCGGAGAGAUGGGGUUCCCAUCCCUACUAUCGGCACACAGCCAAAUGGAUUGAAACAUUUUGGAGAGAAACUAGAGCACGUUAUCCCAUCCGAACAGCAUAGUUUAAGGGGGUGUUUGGGAGAGAGAGACUUAUGGUUUUGAGUUUAGCCCUCUCUCCCAAACACCCCAUAAGUUGUUGAUGAUGUCAAGGCUCUUUCGCGUGACCAGUCCUGUAUCAUUUUGAUAGAUGGGACGACUACAGAGCUAGGCCACAUGCUCUGACAUGCCUAUGUGCUAGGUAGCUAGGAUGGAGUUGUGUCAAUAAUCAAUAUGCAAUGGAUAGAUGGUCUGAACUAUUUCUUUAUUUUUUUCUAAAGUAGGGAAUGAGAGCUAGUCUGACCAAUUAGGUUGAGUCACCUGGAUUCAUACAUGUGAUGAUUCUAAUAUUUGGAGAUACAUUUCAUGUCUAUUUGUAUCAAACUUGCUGCAGGUGCUUUGGGUAUUUGGGCCGAGUUUAGUUCUAAACUUUUUCUUCAAACUUUCAACUUUUCUAUCACAUCAAAACUUUCCUACACACAUAAACUUCCAACUUUUCCGUCAUAUCGUUCCAAUUUCAACCAAAUUUCUAAUUUUGGUGUGAACUAAACACACCCUUGACAUGGUAAUUAUGUCCUAGAUAUGGUACCCACAAGUAUCGAACUUGGUUACUAGGUAUCGGAAAUGGUAUCCACAGGUAUCAGACCUGAGGCCUCAUAUAUGAUACCAUAAGUAAGAGACUUGGUUACUAGGUAGAUAUACCGUAGGUACCGGAUGUGGUGUAUCCACGAGUAUCAGACCUGAUACCUAGGUAUCGGAUGUGAUAUCCACGAGUAUCAGACUAGGUACGUAGGUAUCGAACAUGGUACCUAUAGGUAUCAAACAUGAUAUUGUAUCGGAUAUGGUACCUUGAUAUAUAUCAGAGAUUGUAAUAUAGGUAUAUUAUCACAAAUUUAUAAUGUUUGGUACCUAGGUACCGAUUAAUUGAGAUGAAAAUUAAAAAGUUUCAUCUAAAAAAAAUUAAAAAAUAGGAAAGAAAAGGGGAAAAUUUAGUGACUUUCCCCUCAUCUGUACUGCUUAAAUAAUAGUACACCGUAACAAAUUUCUAAAACAAAUUGGUAGCUGCAUGCCAAGGGUCCAUUUUAUAUGUGGACAUCAUGCGAAAUCCGGAGGGUCCACGUUAAUUAUCUCAUCCGCACAUACUCAACAUGGGCCCCACUUCUCAUCAUAUUUUAUCUUCCCGAGCUAUCCGUAUGAUAAGUGGGAAGUUACUUGUAAUUUGUGAGAACGCAUGUGUCAGAUCACAUGCAAGCAGGGAGCAUGUUCCAUUAACUAUACCGUGCAAAACGGAAGAUGCUGAGCCUAAUUUCUUCGGAUAGACAGUGGAAACUGAACUAAAUCCUCGUGAAGUUCAUCGGAAUCGGCUUUGGCGUUUCUGCAUCCAAACAUGAUCCUGGUUAAUUACCUCGUGAUGUGGGCAACUGUAAUAUGGCCUCCUGCUGGCUUGUCUUCCUGGCAACUCCCAAACCCAUGUAAUUGAAGCAAAGCUAACUUGGAGCAUUGUCUCAGUAGAUUUGCUUCCUCACAGUGACCAUGGAGAUUUUGUCGAUUGUGAAUUUUGGUAGGAAGCGAUGCGUUUGUUAGUAUUUUUUUCACCACCCCAGCACACGUUACCACUAACUAUAAUGUGGAUUUACUGUUGGUAAAAGGUAUCAAUGACACAUGAAGUUUAGUGGGCAAAAUAGGCAUAUAUUUUUGCACAAUAGAAGUAUGGUUAAUAUCGCUUCAAUGCUGUUUCUUGUACUUCUAUAUAUUAUUAUUAGUACCAGCUUCUGUUCUUGGAGAGCUUUUAGUUCUGAGUAACUUAUUUCCAGUGACCAGUUCACUUAGCAAGCACAUGGUAAUUUCCAGAUCAAAAUGUAGCAGUGUAUUCUUGAUCUGUAGCCCGGCCUAUAAAUGCAUUAUUUCUUGGAUAAAACAAGUAUAACUUUCCCUAUGAUGUUCAAGAUAUUGCUAACCUUGAGUAAGGCAUGGUGUUGCACACAAGAAUGAUGGUGAUAUGGCAGGGAAUAGAGCUCAAUUGCCAUUACUGCGGCAUCACAUAUCAAAGGAGGAACAUAGUCAAUGGCUGAAUUGUGGAACAAGCUCAGGGUAUUUUUGUAAGCUAGUUGGAGCCAAUUCAAUUGGAUUAGUUAUCUUAUUUUGUUAACAAGUUGUUAUGAUUAAGCUCUACCUAAGAGAGCACAACUUGAUCAAUCGAUAAGCAGGAACAUCUCCUCAUCCUCUUUUCCA